rnacentral:misc_RNA from 1 species
AAAAAGCGAUAUAUCAGGUGAAUUGCAACUGACGUGACUCUUUGAAACUUUGAACGCAAAUUGUGCCCUUGCUAGCGCAAGGGCGCGUUUGCUUGAGCGUCGAAUAUAAAAAAUCAUUUCUUAUGAAGUGUAGUUGGGUCCUGCCACUGAAUCCUUUAGAGGAGAGAAGGGGCUUUACCUUAAGAAUAAUUGGAGACUUUAGGCUUCAUUAAAAGCUUUGGCUCUUCAGCUUUGUUGGCUGGGUCGGUCUCGUCGGUUAGGAAACUAUCAGGCGGGCUCCUUGGUUCUUAGUUGAAAGUUAAGGUGAUUUCUAAGUUUCCCGUCAAUCAAAAAACAGACUGGUAGUAUACUAUUACUACUAAUUAAAAUCACGGCCUCAAGUCAAGCGCGAGUACCCGCU